rnacentral:rRNA from 1 species
AUUGAACGCUGGCGGCAUGCUUAACACCUGCAAGUCGAGCGAGCGGCGGACGGGUGAGUACUGGCUGGGAACCUGCCUGAUAGAGGGGAAUAACUGCUGGAAACGGUAGCUACUACCGCAUACGAUCCGAUGUGCCCAGACGGGAUUAGCGAGGAGGUGUGGUAAAGGCUCACCUAGGCGACGAUCCCUAGCUGGUCUGAGAGGUUGAUCAGACACACGGGAACUGAGACACGGCCCAGAUUCCUACGGGAGGCAGCAGUAGGGAAUAUUGCACAAGGGGCGAAAGUCUGAUACAGCAAGGCCGCGUGUGUGAAGAAGGCCUUCGGGUCGUAAAGCUCUUUCAGCGAGGAGGCGUUACUCGCAUAAGAAGCACCGGCUAACUCCGUGCCAGCCGCCGCGGUAAUUC